AGAAAGAAAGAAAGGGAGAAAAGGAAAAAUCAAGGCUUUGAAGCUUUAAACUUUAAUAGGUAAGUCAAUCAAGCCCUUUUUACUUAAUUUUGAUGUUUUAGAAGUUUUAGAACAAAGUUUUGAUGAAAUUAAGUUGAUAUUUUGAAGGUUAUUAGAUUUCUAGAUAUCAUUCAUGUUGAAUAAAAUGAUGAAUUAUGAGUUUUAUUGAUAGGAAUUUAAGUUAGAAGUGGGAAAAGGAUUAAAUUAUAAAGAGAAAGUUAAGUUUUGACAUAGUAAGGACUAAGUUGAAAGAAAUUCAGAAUUUAAGUUUUAUGUUGAAUACGAAAAGUUGGAAUUUAUUUUAAGCAAGUAUAAAGAUGAAAACUUAAGUUAAUUUUGAAGAAAAAAAAUGGUUAUGGUGGAAGGACUAAAUUGGAAUUUAUGGAAAAGUUACAUGGAAAUCUUAAGAAUGUGAUAUUAAUGACUUUGAAUGAAUGUAAAUUUUUUUGUAGCUAACGUAGAGCCGGAAAUGUCAUCGAAGAAGGGGAAAGAGAAAGUGGACGAGGAUAUCGAGUAAACUCGAGAAUUAAGGUUUGUAUUUCUAUAAACCGAAUCUAAUAAUUAUUUGUUGAAUUUAUUAUUUAUAUGAAUGGUAAGUAUUAUUAUUAUGGUAUUGAAUUGAAUAAAAAUUCAUGAAUUAUUAGUGAUUAUUGAUAUUGAAUAGAAUAUGUGAAUAUUGAGUAGAAAAUUGAAAAAUGUAUAUUGCAUUGAAAUAGAUUUGCAUGUGGAUUGAUAUGGAAAAAUGUAUUAAAUUGGAUUGAAACUAAAUUACAAAUAAAAUUGAAAAGUUGAAAGUUUAUUGAAUACCCUAUUAACUUUAUCAGGCUAGUCGGAUAUAGAUGGCAUGCCAUAGGAUUGGAAGUGUUUAGGGAUAUUCUGACUAUGUGUCGAUAAGACACUAUAUGUGUCGACUACUGUGACUGUUCCGGAUUCGUUCCGAAUAGGUACUCCAUACCUGACUGUUACUGUUACUGUUCCGGAUUUGUUUCGACGAGGUACUUUGUGUACCGCUACUGUUACUGUUACCCUUACGGUAUAUUCCAGCUUUGGCUGAUGAAACACUGUAUACUAUCCCCUGUGUGUGGGUUGGAUCCGUGUAUCUGUCCAGGUUUGAGUCAUGUUAAUAGGGGUAAUGAAAAGUAUUAAAGACUGUCUACUACUAAAUAAUUAACUGUUACAGAAUAAAUGACUGAUACUGAAUAAAUGAAUAUUACUGAUUAACCGAUUAUUACUGUUGACUGAUUGGUACUAAACGAUAAAGAUCAAUUGGUUGUUACCAAAGAAUAUUGACUGUUAUUGAAAUGAGAUAGUACAGAAUAUUGAAUGAAAGUUGAAUAAUAUUACUACUCAAAUGAAUUGUAAAUAAAAGUACUGAAAAACUAAUUGUUACUAAAUAAUGGACUACUACUGAAUGUCUGAAUGAUACUGAACACAAGUUAUUACUGAAUAAAUAUGAAAAAUCGACGGAUAAUGAAUAAACAUUAAAACUGUAUACAUUUCAACAAAAGUGAUUAACAAGAUCUUAGCAUUAUAUUUCAAAAACAAAUGAUUGAACUAUUAGGAGUAAUAGAUUGAAUUCUCAAGGCUCGUUGAUAUAUGAUUUAUUAUUGACUUAAGUAUCGGUUUAUAGAAAUACCACUGAGUUCAUACUCAGCGUACGGUUUGUUUCCAUGCGCAGGUUAGGUUAAAGACAGAUCGUCGAAUCAGCAUCAUAAGCCGAUCCCGAACUCAAAAAGGUAAAGCAUGUUAAUCAUCAGUAAUGGCAUGUACCUAGGAUGUCUUAAGUGUGUUAUAUUGGAUUGUGA
rnacentral:lncRNA from 1 species